UACGUAGGGGGCUAGCGUUGUCCGGAAUCAUUGGGCGUAAAGCGCGCGUAGGCGGCCAGAUAAGUCCGGGUGUGAAAGUCACAGGCUCAACCUGUGAAUGCCGCUGGAAACUGUCUGGCUAGAGUCCGGAAGGGGCGAGUGGAAUUCCUGGUGUAGCGGUGAAAUGCGCAGAUAUCAGGAGGAACACCGGUGGCGAAGGCGGGUCUCUGGGCAGUAACUGACGCUGAGGAGCGAAAAGCGUGGGGAGCAAACAGGG
rnacentral:rRNA from 1 species